CAAGGAGGACGCAUUCUCAGGGCUUCCUCAUAUUGAGUAUUUAUUUAUUGAAGGUAACAAGAUUGAAGAGAUAAACAAAUAUGCCUUUAGAGGACUUCGGGGUGUCACACAUCUAUCAUUAGCGAACAACAAUUU